rnacentral:rRNA from 1 species
CAGCCGCCGCGGUAAUACGUAGGGUGCAAGCGUUAAUCGGAAUUACUGGGCGUAAAGCGCGCGUAGGUGGUUUGUUAAGUUGGAUGUGAAAUCCCCGGGCUCAACCUGGGAACUGCAUCCAAAACUGGCAAGCUAGAGUAUGGUAGAGGGUGGUGGAAUUUCCUGUGUAGCGGUGAAAUGCGUAGAUAUAGGAAGGAACACCAGUGGCGAAGGCGACCACCUGGACUGAUACUGACACUGAGGUGCGAAAGCGUGGGGAGCAAACAGGAUUAGAGACCCCUGUAGUCCCUGUCUCUUAUAA